rnacentral:lncRNA from 1 species
AGGUUAGAACCAAAGGGUUAAUGGAUCGAGUAGAGAAAUUGAUUAAAUCUAACCAAAUACUGAAUUAGAUUAAAUCAGAAUUUUUUUAGAACCAAUAUAAUAGUUGUAGAUAGUCAAGUCCAUAUCUUUGAUUAGAUCAAAUGGAUCUUGAUCAUGGCUCAGUGGUCGAGCCCAAGUCUUUAGGCAAACCUAAUUGAAACUAAUGAACCAAUUGGUGUCUAAGGUAAGUUUGGCAUUUCAAUCGAUGAUUUUUAAUUGGAGUGGCUUACCUGAUCAUUUUGAUGGUAUCUAUGGCAAGCUUAGCAUACCCUCCCACCGAUCUUACUUACUUGGCCAAUA